rnacentral:snoRNA from 1 species
AGGUCAUUUCAAAGAGGGCUUGUGGGCUGGAGAAUCAAAGUGUUUUCAGGCUGUGACCAACGAUUGACACAUCCCAUAAGAGCAUAGUCAAUAGAGCUGAGUUUUUCUGAGACAAUGUAGAA